UAGGGAAUCUUCGGCAAUGGACGAAAGUCUGACCGAGCAACGCCGCGUGAGUGAAGAAGGUUUUCGGAUCGUAAAACUCUGUUGUUAGAGAAGAACAAGGACGUUAGUAACUGAACGUCCCCUGACGGUAUCUAACCAGAAAGCCACGGCUAACUACGUGCCAGCAGCCGCGGUAAUACGUAGGUGGCAAGCGUUGUCCGGAUUUAUUGGGCGUAAAGCGAGCGCAGGCGGUUUCUUAAGUCUGAUGUGAAAGCCCCCGGCUCAACCGGGGGGGGUCAUUGGAAACUGGGGGACUUGGGUGCAGGAGAGGAGGGUGGAAUUCGAUGGGUAGCGGUGAAAUGCGUAGAUGUAUGGAGGAACACGAGGGGCGAAGGCGGCUCUCUGGUCUGUGACUGACGGUGAGGCUCGAAAGCGUGGGGAGCGAACAGG
rnacentral:rRNA from 1 species